rnacentral:rRNA from 1 species
GACGAACGCUGGCGGCGUGCCUAAUACAUGCAAGUUGAGCGCUGAAGGUUGGUACUUGUACCAACUGGAUGAGCAGCGAACGGGUGAGUAACGCGUGGGGAAUCUGCCUUUGAGCGGGGGACAACAUUUGGAAACGAAUGCUAAUACCGCAUAAAAACUUUAAACACAAGUUUUAAGUUUGAAAGAUGCAAUUGCAUCACUCAAAGAUGAUCCCGCGUUGUAUUAGCUAGUUGGUGAGGUAAAGGCUCACCAAGGCGGUGAUACAUAGCCGACCUGAGAGGGUGAUCGGCCACAGUGGGACUGAGACACGGCCCAAACUCCUACGGGAGGCAGCAGUAGGGAAUCUUCGGCAAUGGACGAAAGUCUGACCGAGCAACGCCGCGUGAGUGAAGAAGGGUUUCGGAUCGUAAAACUCUGUUGGUAGAGAAGAACGUUGGUGAGAGUGGAAAGCUCAUCAAGUGACGGUAACUACCCAGAAAGGGACGGCUAACUACGUG